rnacentral:tRNA from 1 species
GCUUCCAUAGCUCAGGCGGCAGAGCGCAUCCUUGGUAAGGAUGAGGUCAGCAGUUCGAAUCUGCUUGGAAGCUCCA